GUGUCACAGAGCUGGCUAUCCUGCAUGUGAGUGCGUAGCUGAGACAAACUGUGUAAGACUGAAGGCCAUGCAGCUGCUCUCUGGCUGAUUUCACCUUAGUCCAGUUAUUGUGUUUUUGUAGCAAAUGAUGGCGCUUGGAGUUAAUUUAAUGGUGAUUUGCUUGGUAGGAGUCUACUACACUGAUGUAGGACUAAGUGCUGGCAUUGGAUUUCCUGUGAAAUGUGACUUGAG